UUUACAAGUGCCUUGUUCUAGUUGGAAGGUUAUUUGGUUUUAAAGUCCAUGGAAACUGUUGUUUGAGUGUUAGCUGCUGUCAUUAAUGGCUGACCGUAGACAUUGCAGGGCAGACCACGGGAACAGCGCCACAACUGCACUUCUUUCAGCUCCACUAAUUUUCGUAGUUCGGUGUGUGUACGGGCGAAUCAUCUAUUUCUUGUUUUCGUACGAGUUUCAGGACCAAUCAUACUUCCUGAGGAAUAUCAUACUAUAGUUUAUCGCUAACUUGAACAUUUUUGUGGGCAAAAAGUUUUUACUUUAAUAAAAAUGUUACUGUGAACUUGACGAAACAUGCAGUCUGGAUACUUGAACAUUAACGUAUUUCUAGAGAUAGUACAUCAUGUUUACUGCUCUGUUAACAUUUUCCUUACUGGAUUUCAUUUAGUCCUUUUUCAGACAAGUUCUUUAUACCUGAGACCGUGGAUACAGAGUUCAGAAAAUAAACUUACAUGCUGAAAGUAAAAUGUUCAUACUAGUCAACAUUUUAGAUGUCUUUGCCUUCCAUAUUUGGUUACUAGAAGCAAGUGAAUUCUACAGACGUGUAUUGAAGAAGUAGGCGUACAUGUGAUGGAACAUUGUUCAACUGUGGUAAAAAGAUUUAAUAUAAUUUAUAGUGGUCAAAGUUUAUAUAUUAACAUUUGAUUACGAUUCUGAAAUGAACUCAUCAAGUUACUGUUGGGAAAUAAAUACAUCUUGAAGAUUGAAGAGGAUAACAAAUGGAGUCUUCUUACGAGUAGGUGACCGCUAGCUUCUUGGUCUGCAAUGGGACCGCCCAAUGCGGCACUGGAAUGUUGAGUGAAAAUGUCGCCCACGUCACAGCUAAUAUCCGAUAGAACGAGGCCCACCCAGCCAUCCAGUUAGCCGCCAAGGCAGAGGGCGCCCAAGGCUGUUUCCCCGAGACUCAAGCGGGUGGAUCAUGCAUUGCUCAGCCUUCAAGUUGAGUGAAGCGUGAAGACUGAGGCCCAGCCAGAGCAGAAGUGAAAGUUUUAUGGAACAGAUGGCAGUUUUAAAACGUAACUUUGAACUCUGAAGCUGUUACAUCACGGA